CCUCAGUUAGAGAAUACUCAGUUGGAGAGAAAAGGGGGCUGCAGUCUUGCUUACUCCUCCAGAAUAAGAGCUGUUGUUUAGUUCUUCUCAUUCCUGCCUGACUGUUUUUAUUGGACUUGAUGGUUGCUACACUACUGAUGAUUUCAGCAGUGUCAAAUGAGAAAGAAAGACACGAACUGAAGAAGCUGGAAACAAAGAGCAAGUAAAGUGAUGCAGCCAUGUAAAAGGAAAAAGAUGACUGUUCGCUGAACUCAUGCGGUGCACUUUAAACUAGCUUCGCCGAGGUAUAGGGUCACAGGAGGACUUGAGGACACCUCCCAACCAAGACAGGUGACGUGCACAAGGAGUACCCAGUGCUAGAGAACAUCCUCCAGGAGUGUACUUCUUCCACAUGCUGAAUCAACUGGACAUUGGCUUAUUUGCUCACAAGAAGGUGAAGGAAGUGACUUGCAUAUCAUGUGCCUUUGAGUUUGAAGUACCUUGUGAACUACCCAGUAGUCUCAUAUAGAUGUUAUCUAGGAGAUGGGACACGCUUAGCAGCCUUUCAUGAACUGUCACUUGGAAGCUACACAAAGGCUGGUAUUACUGUUUAUUUAAAGGUGAACAGCAGUCCUUGCACUAGUCUCUAAGCAGAAGGUAAAGACUAGUGUAGCAGGCUCACCUUUCAGAGCUUGGGUUGAGUCCCAGGCUUGAGAUCCUGCUGUUUUGAUUGGUGGAGCCCAUUCACCGAUCAGGAGGGAGCAGGAGAAA